AGAGUUUGAUCCUGGCUCAGGAUGAACGCUAGCGGCAGGCUUAAUACAUGCAAGUCGUGGGGCAGCGCAGGUAGCAAUACUGGGCGGCGACCGGCAAACGGGUGCGGAACACGUACACAACCUUCCUUCAAGUGGGGAAUAGCCCAGAGAAAUUUGGAUUAAUACCCCGUAACAUAACGAUGUGGCAUCACAUUGUUAUUAUAGCUUCGGCGCUUGUUGAUGGGUGUGCGGCUGAUUAGAUAGUUGGCGGGGUAACGGCCCACCAAGUCUACGAUCAGUAGCUGAUGUGAGAGCAUGAUCAGCCACACGGGCACUGAGACACGGGCCCGACUCCUACGGGAGGCAGCAGUAAGGAAUAUUGGUCAAUGGACGAAAGUCUGAACCAGCCAUGCCGCGUGAAGGAUUAAGGUCCUCUGGAUUGUAAACUUCUUUUAUCUGGGACGAAAAAAGGCGAUUCUUCGUCACUUGACGGUACCAGAUGAAUAAGCACCGGCUAACUCCGUGCCAGCAGCCGCGGUAAUACGGAGGGUGCAAGCGUUAUCCGGAUUCACUGGGUUAAAGGGUGCGUAGGCGGGCAGGUAAGUCAGU
rnacentral:rRNA from 1 species